ACGAACGCUGGCGGCAUGCCUAACACAUGCAAGUCGAACGAGACCUUCGGGUCUAGUGGCGCACGGGUGCGUAACGCGUGGGAAUCUGCCCUUAGGUACGGAAUAACAGUGAGAAAUUACUGCUAAUACCGUAUGAUGUCUUCGGACCAAAGAUUUAUCGGAAUUGGAUGAGCCCGCGUUGGAUUAGCUAGUUGGUGAGGUAAUGGCUCACCAAGGCGACGAUCCAUAGCUGGUCUGAGAGGAUGAUCAGCCACACUGGGACUGAGACACGGCCCAGACUCCUACGGGAGGCAGCAGUGGGGAAUAUUGGACAAUGGCGCAAGCCUGAUCCAGCCAUGCCGCGUGAGUGAUGAAGGCCUUAGGGUUNUAAAGCUCUUUCAGUAGGGAAGAUAAUGACGGUACCUACAGAAGAAGCCCCGGCUAACUUCGUGCCAG
rnacentral:rRNA from 1 species